UGCGAGCGUUAAUCGGAAUUUACUGGGCGUAAAAGCGCAUGCAGGUCGGUUUGUUAAGUCAGAUGUGAAAGCCCCGGGGCUCAACCUCGGAAUAGCAUUUGAAACUGGCAGACUAGAGUACUGUAGAGGGGGUAGAAUUUCAGGUGUAGCGGUGAAAUGCGUAGAGAUCUGAAGGAAUACCGGUGGCGAAGGCGGCCCCCCUGGACAGAUACUGACACUCAGAUGCGAAAGCGUGGGGAGCAAACAGGAUUAGAUACCCCUGGUAG
rnacentral:rRNA from 1 species